rnacentral:rRNA from 1 species
UACGUAGGGUGCAAGCGUUAAUCGGAAUUACUGGGCGUAAAGCGUGCGCAGGCGGUCUUGUAAGUCUGACGUGAAAUCCCCGGGCUUAACCUGGGAACUGCAUUUGUGACUGCAUUGCUGGAGUGCGGCAGAGGGGGAUGGAAUUCCGCGUGUAGCAGUGAAAUGCGUAGAUAUGCGGAGGAACACCGAUGGCGAAGGCAAUCCCCUGGGCCUGCACUGACGCUCAUGCACGAAAGCGUGGGGAGCAAACAGG